GGUCUAAUAGUGUAGUGGUUAUCACAGUGGAUUUUGAUGCCGCUGCCAUACAAGUCGCAUGUCUUCCAUUAACCCAGGUUCGAGUCCUGGUUAGACCU